rnacentral:rRNA from 1 species
CACGUAGGGCGCAAGCGUUGUCCGGAAUUAUUGGGCGUAAAGAGCUCGUAGGCGGUCUGUCACGUCCGCUGUGAAAAGCUAGGGCUUAACCCUGGCCUUGCAGUGGAUACGGGCAGACUAGAGGUAGGUAGGGGAGAAUGGAAUUCCCGGUGUAGCGGUGAAAUGCGCAGAUAUCGGGAGGAACACCGGUGGCGAAGGCGGUUCUCUGGGCCAUUACUGACGCUGAGGAGCGAAAGCGUGGGGAGCGAACAGG